rnacentral:snRNA from 1 species
CUGUGCAAGGGCAAUCUGACUGUCCUUUGUUGGUUCAUUGAUGGCCAGGGUUGACUCUGCUGAGCUGGCUGGCCAGGCAGUUUUCCCUCUCACAGCUGCACGCUGGGAGAGAUCCCCCCUCCACCUUGGAUCAAGGCUAUAGGAGUAGCUGUGCUCCCUGCCAGAACCUCCAAACAAGCUCUCAAGGUCCACCCGACCUUUCUAAGGGGAAACUCAUCCACAACAGAACAAGGAGUGAGGAUUUU